AACGGAGGCGCUCAAAGGUUCUCUCAGUACGGUCGGAAAUCGUACGUAGAGUGUAAAGGCAAAAGAGAGCUUGAUUGCAAGACAUACAGGGCGAGCAAGGAUGAAAAUCGGACUUAGUGAUCCGGUGGUUCUGCGUGGAAGGGCCAUCGCUCAACGGAUAAAAGCUACCCUGGGGAUAACAGGCUUAUCUCCCCCAAGAGUCCACAUCGACGGGGAGGUUUGGCACCUCGAUGUCGGCUCAUCACAUCCUGGGGCUGCAGUAGGUCCCAAGGGUUGGGCUGUUCGCCCAUUAAAGUGGUACGCG
rnacentral:rRNA from 1 species